rnacentral:rRNA from 1 species
UACAGAGGGGGCAAGCGUUAUUCGGAAUUAUUGGGCGUAAAGGGCGCGUAGGCGGCUUGGCAAGUGGAUGGUGAAAUCCCUCGGCUUAACCGAGGAACUGCCAUCCAGACUGCUUUGCUUGAGGCCGGGAGAGGUGAGUGGAAUUCCCAGUGUAGCGGUGAAAUGCGUAGAUAUUGGGAGGAACACCAGUGGCGAAGGCGGCUACCUGGCCUGAUACUGACACUGAGGCACGAAAGCGUGGGGAGCAAACAGG